GGAGUCUGGACCGUGUCUCAGUUCCAAUGUGGCCGUUCAUCCUCUCAGACCGGCUACUGAUCAUCGCCUUGGUAGGCCGUUACCCCACCAACCACCUAAUCAGACGCAUCCCCAUCCCAUAGCGAUGAAUCUUUGCUUGACGUUAGAUGUCUGCUGUCAAGAACAUAGGGAAUUAAUCCGACUUUCGCCGGGCUGUGCCCU
rnacentral:rRNA from 1 species